rnacentral:rRNA from 1 species
UACGUAGGUGACGAGCGUUAUCCGGAUUUACUGGGCGUAAAGCGCUUGUAGGUGGUCUUGUAAGUUGGGCGUGAAAACACCGGGCUUAACUCGGUGACGCCGUCCAAUACUGCGAGGCUGGAGGAUGUCAGAGGAAGGUGGAAUUCCUGGUGUAGUGGUGAAAUGCGUAGAUAUGUGGAGGAACACCGAUGGCGAAGGCAGCCCCCUGGGCUAAGAUUGACGCUCAUGCACGAAAGCGUGGGGAGCAAACAGG